CAGCCGCGGUAAUACGGAGGGUGCGAGCGUUAAUCGGGAAUUACUGGGCGUAAAGCGCAUGCAGGUGGUUUGUUAAGUCAGAUGUGAAAGCCCGGGGCUCAACCUCGGAAUUGCAUUUGAAACUGGCAAACUAGAGUACUGUAGAGGGGGUAGAAUUUCAGGUGUAGCGGUGAAAUGCGUAGAGAUCUGAAGGAAUACCGGUGGCGAAGGCGGCCCCCUGGACAGAUACUGACACUCAGAUGCGAAAGCGUGGGGAGCAAACCAGGAUUAGAUACCCUCGGUAG
rnacentral:rRNA from 1 species